CGCGGUUCAAAACUGAACCGAAAAUGCAAGACUCGCUUUAAUUGUUUUCCUUCAAUUUCUUUCUGUAUUAUUUACUAUAAUGGAACUCAUGUUAUUUACACUGUGCUAGAUCAAUACAUAUAAACACUGACAGAAAACAAUUAAAGCAAGUCUUGCAUUUUCGGUUCAGUUUUGAACCGAG
rnacentral:miRNA from 1 species